GAAACCUCUACAAUGCACGAAAGUGUGAUAGGGGAACUCCACAUGCCUACAUUUGUAGGCUUUUCUCAAGUUUAAAACGCUUGGGGAAUAAGGGCUGGGCAAGACCCGUGCCAGCCGCCGCGGUAACACGGGCAGCUUAAGCGGUGUUCGCGUAUAUUGGGCCUAAAGCGUACGUAGCCUGUCCAUCAAGUUUCUGGUGAAAUCCUGCGACUUAAUCGUGGGACGUGCCAGGAAAACUGUUGGACUUGGGAUCGGAAGAGGUCGGGGGUAUUCCUGGGGUAGGGGUAAAAUCCUGUGAUCCCAGGAGGACCAUCGGUGGCGAAGGCGCCCGACUGGAACGUGUCCGACGGUGAGGUACGAAAGCUAGGGGAGCGACCCGGAUUAGAUACCCGGUUAGUCCUAGCCGUAAAUGAUGUCUGUUUGGUAUUGCAUGGCCUACGAGGCUUUGCAGUGCCGUAGGGAAGCCGUUAAACAGACCGCCUGGGAGUACGCCGCAAGGC
rnacentral:rRNA from 1 species